CCGUAGGUGAACCUGCGGAAGGAUCAUUACCGAGUUCGUGCCCUCCGGGGCAGACCUCCCACCCUUGUGUAUUAUUACAAAACGUUGCUUUGGCGCGCCGUACGCUCGGCUUACCCGGGGAUUUCCCCCGGCGCGCGCGCCAGAGGACCCCAAACUCUAAGUUUUAGUGUCGUCAGAGUACUAUUCAAUAGUUAAAACUUUCAACAACGGAUCUCUUGGUUCUGGCAUCGAUGAAGAACGCAGCGAAAUGCGAUAAGUAAUAUGAAUUGCAGAAUUCAGUGAAUCAUCGAAUCUUUGAACGCAUAUUGCACCCCUUGGUAUUCCGGGGGGUAUGCCUGUUCGAGCGUCAUGAUAACCUUUCCAGCCUGGCUGGGUGGUGGGCCCCGCUGCUGGGCGGGCCCCAAAGCGAGUGGCGGUGCUCGUGAGCUCUACGCGUAGUAAUUUUCCUCGCUACAGAGUCCCACGGCGUGCUGGCCAGCAACCCCAAAUUUUUCAUGUUUGACCUCGGAUCAGGUAGGGA
rnacentral:rRNA from 1 species